GGUCAGGAGAUCCAGACCAUCCUGGCUAACGUGGCGAAACCCUGUCUCCACUAAAAAUACAAAAAACUAGCCAGGAGUGGUGGCAGGCACCUGUAGUCCCAGCUACUUGUGAGGCUGAGGCAGGAGAAUAGCUGGGACUACAGGUAUGGGCCACCAUGCGUGCUUUUUUGUUUGUUUUUUAAUAGAUGGGGUCUAUGUUGCCCUGGCUGAUCUCCAACUCCUGGGCUCAAGUGAUCCUCCCAC
rnacentral:lncRNA from 1 species